GAGGAAACAAUUAAGGGCAAAUGGUGGAUGCCUUGGCACUAAAAGACGAUGAAGGACGUAGCAUAGCUGCGAUAAGCUUCGGGUAGGUGUGUAGCAACCUUUGAUCCGAAGAUCUCCGAAUGGGGCAACCUAAUAAACUUUAAAGUUUAUUACUUUAUUAUCGAAGGAUAAUAAAGGGCAAACCUAGGGAAGUGAAACAUCUCAGUACCUAGAGGAAAAGAAAACAAUUUCUUGUCUUUAACAAGACGCAGAUAAACAUAAUCUGUAAUAUAUCAAAUAUAUAACAGUUGGUAAAUCCGCGAUUCUUGUUUUUGACAAGAACGAUUCCCCAAGUAGUGGCGAGCGAAAAGGGAACAGCCUAAACUGAACAAAAUUUGUAUAAAAUUUUGUUUAGGGUCAUAAGAAUUUUUCAUUUUGAUUGCAAAAUCAAACAGGGUAAAAAGUGAUAAUAAUUAGCAGAAAUAUCUGGAAAGAUAUACCAUAGAAGGUAAAUGUCCUGUAUGCAAAAAUUAUUAUCUACCUUGAGAAAUUUUUCUUGAGUACUUCGAGGUAAAGGUUACUUCGAAGGAAUUUUCCUGAACUAUUUAGGAAAGGCUAAAUACUUUUAGUGACCGAUAGUGAACAAGUACCGUGAGGGAAAGGUUAAAAGCAACCCGGUGAGGGUGAUGAAAUAGUAUCUGAAACCAUUUUGCCUACAAAGAGACGGAACUCAUAUCACUAUCGCUCUAAACUUCUAAAUUAUAUUUUCAAAUAUAUUUUCAAAAUCAGAUUUUCUAUUUGAUAUUUAAUUUCGAAGCUUUGAGCGAUAGUGAGGGGCGACGUCGUGCCUAUUGAAGAAUGAGCCUGCGAGUUUGCUUACUGUGUUAUUUAAUCUGCUGAGGCAGAAAAGGUAAAGCGAAAGCGAGUGUUAAUAGCGCGCCAUAGAUUUUAUUUUUCUUUUUGUGCGUAAGCACAGAAAGACUAAAAUAAUUUCUAUAAACACAUUAGGCAAGACCCGAAGCCAGAUGAGCUUACCAUGAACAGGUUGAACUCUAUAGAAAUAUAGGGGGAGGACCGAACCCAUAAGCUGUUCAAUACUUUGGGAUGAUUUGUGGUAAGGAGUGAAAUACUAAUCGAAUCUGGUAAUAGCUGGUUCUCCCCGAAAUAGCUCUAGGGCUAGCGGUUUAUUUAUCCUGAUGGGGGUAGAGCACUGAAUGGUUUGUAAUGGUGGAAACAUCAGCAAACCAAUCAAACUCCGAAUACCAUCUUGUUACAAUAAACCAGUCAGACUGUGGGGGCUAAGCUCCAUGGUCAAAAGGAAAAGAAUCCUGAUCGUCGUUUAAGGUCCCUAAAUUUUAGCUAAGUGCUAGUGGAAGGUAGUGAUUCACCGAAGACAGUUAGGAGGUUGGCUCAGAGGUAGCUAUCCUUUUAAGAGUGUGUAACAACUCACUAUCAUAUCCCGUUCCUCUUUUGAUAAAGAAAUUUUUUAAUUAUUUGUAAUUUUCUAAAUCCAAUAAUAUCCAAUAAUAAAAAUUUCAAAGUCAAAAGUGGAACGGGAAUGGUGGAUUGCGCCGAAAAUGUAGAGGGGCUAAGCUAAAUACCGAAGACACGACUUGUUUAAAUUUUGCUAUGCAAAAUUUAGGCAGGGGUAGGGGAGCAUUUUUUAUUCACUGAAGAUUGACCCGCGAGGGCAAUUGGAGAAUAAGGAAGAGAGAAUGCAGGCACAAGUAACCACAAUCCUGAUGUAAAAUCAGGACCCCGUAAGCUCGAGGUUUCCUUGGCAAUGCAAAUCAUCCAAGGGUUAGGCGAACCUAAGGCAAUGACGAAAGUCGCAGCCGAUGGAUAACUAGUUAAUAUUCUAGUCCUCCUAUAUUAUUUGAUGAGAUGACAAAGAAAAAAAGAUAAAGUGUUUUAAUGGUUUAACAUUGUAAAGAAUAGGAUUGUAGAUUUGGCAAAUCCGGUCUACUAAAUUUAAUUUUAAAAUCCGAUCUCAACAGAAGGCAGGAGUUUCUCCUACCAACUUUGUCGAAGAGUCUUUCAGGAAAAGUCUCUAAAAUUAUUAAUAUAGGAACCGUACUUAAACCAACACAGGUGAGCGAGGCGAGUAGCCUAAGGGGAACGAGUGAGAUUUCGUUAAGGAACUAGGCAAACAAGCGGCCGUAAGUUAGCGAUAAGGCCUGGCUGUCUGUUUACAGAUGGCCCGCAGUGAAAGUAUGCUUGGCGACUGUUUACCAAAAACACAGAUCCCUGCGAACUCGUAAGAGGAUGUAUAGGGGUUGAUACCUGUCCGAUGCCAGAAGGUGAAAAGUGACUGUCUAUUAAUCGCAAGAUUGAUAGGCUGCGCGCUCUAAGCCCUGGUCAAUGACAGCGAUAACUAUAAUCGUUCUAAGGUAGCGUAAUUCCUUGUCGGGUAAGUUCCGACGCGCAUGAAUGGUAUAACGACUAAGCAACUGUCUCAACGAAAUGCUCGGUGAAAAUGCGAGUCCAGUGAAGACGCUGGGUACCAGUGGUUAGACAAGAAGACCCUGGAAGCUUUACUGUAAUCUGACAUUGAUUUUAGGAUUUGAAUGCGUAGCGUAGUGGGGAGGAUUUGAGGCUUUAAUCUCGGUUAAAGCUGAUCCGACAAUGAAACACCCAUCUUUCAAAGCUUAAAAUCUAACCCGUAUAGAAAAACUAUACAGGGACAUUGUUUGGUUGGCAGUUUUCGUGGGGCGCGAUCCUCCUAAAAAGUAACGGAGGAGCCUAUUAAGGUUAGCUAUCCUGAGAUGGAAAUUCAGGAGAUAGUGUAAAAGCAUAAGCUAGCUUUAUAGCAAGGAAGACAUUCCGCGCUAUUGCGAAAGCAGAGUUUAGUGACCCGACACCUCUUUAUAGAAAGGGUGAAGACUUCGGACAAAAGCUACUCCAGGGAUAACAGGCUAGUGAAGCCCGAAAGUUCAUAUCGACGGCUUCGCUCGGCACCUCGAUGUCGGCUUAUCCUAUCCCGGGGCUGAAGCAGGUCCCAAAGGUCCGGCUGUUCGCCGGUUAAAAGGAUACACGAGCUGGGUUCAAUACGUCGUAAGGCAGUAUGGACUUCUAUCUACCAUUGGCGUUCGAUGUUUGAGAGGACUCGUCCAUAGUACGAGAGGAUUUGGAUGACUGAACCUCUGGUGUACCAGUUGCUCUACCAAGAGCAUUGCUGGGUAGCUAAGUUUGGAUAAGGAUAACCGCUGAAAGCAUCUAAGUGGGAAACCUUCCUCAAGAUUAGACAUCGUUAUAGAUUCCCAAAAGAUUAUUGGGUUGAUAGGCUUUAGGUGUAAGAAUAGUAAUAUUUUUAGCCAAGAAGUACUAAUAAAUCGAAGUUUCCUCAU
rnacentral:rRNA from 1 species